rnacentral:rRNA from 1 species
AUGUAUUUGGCGAGUGCCACGAGGCCUGACAUCUCUUUUGCUAUGAGCAAGCUGAGUCGGUUUGUGUCAAAGCCGGGAGAUGAUCAUUGGCAUGCGCUUGAGAGAGUUAUGCGCUAUUUGAAAGGCACCGCGAGCUAUGGGAUUCACUACACCGGGUAUCCAAGGGUACUGGAGGGUUAUAGUGACUCAAACUGGAUAUCUGAUGCUGAUGAGAUUAAGGCUACAAGUGGUUAUGGUUUUACACUCGGUGGUGGCGCUGUUUCCUGGAAGUCUUGCAAGCAGACCAUCUUCACAAGGUCAACUAUGGAAGCAGAACUCACAGCAUUAGACACUGCCACUGUUGAAGCAGAGUGGUUUCAUGAACUCUGGAUGGACUUACCUAUGGUUGAAGAACCAAUACCCCCUAUCCUGAUGAAUGUGAUAAUCAUACUGUGA